GCCGUCAGGGCAAUAUCGCACUGCCAGAUGACUGUGGGUUUGAAUCGGUGGAUUCACUUGAAAAGGUUGGAUUGCCACAACACCAGGACCAAGGUCGUGGUCGGUGGUCGUUGGCGGUGACGUAAGCGCCGUCAAGGGAUAUCCCAGACAUGGAUGACAAGUCUGGACUGAGUGCUGACCACGGUCUCCGAACGAAGCUGGAAGCUUUAGCCAAGGAGAAAGACUGUGAAGCACUGAGCCCUUGGAUCACUAGCAUUAUCGACCACCUUUACUGGUGUGUCGCGUCCAGCCCUCCUAGAGAUCCGGAGCUGGUACUAGAGAAGUAGCGCUCCGUCAUCAACCACGUUCAAAACAUCCAUGUGUGGGUCACGGAGCAAGGGUCACAGAAUGCCAGCAUCCCCUGGAAGGAAGGAAGUGAGGCUCCCCAAAAGAAGUGGUUGAAAUGUGGUUGUACUUGAAAACAAUGCAUUUCAAGGAAACUGGAGCCCGACCUCAAGCUCGUGAUGACAAUGGAGAGUUAAAGUUCAGGAUUACAUACAAGAAAUAUAGGAAGGGACAACAUGUGCUGACAAAAGCAGCAAGUAACAUGACUUAUGACUAUGUUGGAAGACUGCUGACAGCGGUGUGUAACCAAGCCAGGUAGAGUCGAGAACACAGGGCCACCACGCAACACAUUGUUGUCCCAGCACCCGUAACAA